UACGUAGGACCCAAGCGUUAUCCGGAGUGACUGGGCGUAAAGAGUUGCGUAGGCGGUUAGUAAAGCGAAGAGUGAAAGAUGAUGGCUCAACCAUCAGAACAUUUUUCGAACUCACUAACUCGAGAAUGGUAGAGGUAGCUGGAAUUUCUAGUGUAGGAGUGAAAUCCGUAGAUAUUAGAAGGAACACCAAUGGCGUAGGCAGGCUACUGGACCAUUUCUGACGCUGAGGCACGAAAGCGUGGGGAGCGAACCGG
rnacentral:rRNA from 1 species